GCUGGGCGUGGUGGCGGGCGCCUGUAAUCCCAGCUACUCAGGAGGCUGAGGCAGGAGAAUUGCUUGAACCCAGGAGGCAGAGGUUGCAGUGAGCCGAGAUCGCACCACUGUACUCCAGCCUGGGUGACAGAGCAAGAAUCUGUCUCAA
rnacentral:SRP_RNA from 1 species